rnacentral:rRNA from 1 species
GACGAACGCUGGCGGCGUGCUUAACACAUGCAAGUCGAACGGAAAGGCCCUGCUUUGGUGGGGUGCUCGAGUGGCGAACGGGUGAGUAACACGUGAGUAACCUGCCCUUGACUUUGGGAUAACUUCAGGAAACGGGGGCUAAUACCGGAUAGGAGCUCCUGCCGCAUGGGGGGGGUUGGAAAGUUUCGGCGGUUGGGGAUGGACUCGCGGCUUAUCAGCUUGUUGGUGGGGUAGUGGCUUACCAAGGCUUUGACGGGUAGCCGGCCUGAGAGGGUGACCGGCCACACUGGGACUGAGAUACGGCCCAGACUCCUACGGGAGGCAGCAGUGGGGAAUAUUGCACAAUGGGCGGAAGCCUGAUGCAGCAACGCCGCGUGCGGGAUGACGGCCUUCGGGUUGUAAACCGCUUUCGCCUGUGACGAAGCGUGAGUGACGGUACUGGGUAAAGAAGCACCGGCUAACUACGUG